AAAUCAUGUACCUUAAAGGGACAAAAAAUGAAGCAGAAAUAUGAGAUUUUAAACAGCAGUGUGAUGUUUGCCAGCUACAUUGCAUCAGCUUGAUGGCGCAAAGAGCCAUCAAUAGAGAGAGCAAAGGCAUCAAGAGCUUC